rnacentral:rRNA from 1 species
AUACGGAGGAUGCGAGCGUUAUCCGGAUUUAUUGGGUUUAAAGGGCGCGUAGGUGGUUUGAUAAGUCAGCGGUGAAAGUUUGCAGCUUAACUGUAGAAAUGCCGUUGAAACUGUCGGACUUGAGUGUAAAUGAGGUAGGCGGAAUGCGUGGGGUAGCGGUGAAAUGCAUAGAUAGCACGCAGAACUCCGAUUGCGAAGGCAGCUUACUAAGUUACAACUGACACUGAAGCACGAAAGCGUGGGGAUCAAACAGGAUUAGAUACCCUGGUAGUCCACGCAGUAAACGAUGAUUACUAGCUGUUUGCGAUACACAGUAAGCGGCACAGCGAAAGCGUUAAGUAAUCCACCUGGGGAGUACGCCGGCAACGGUGAAACUCAAAUGAAUUGGCGGGG